rnacentral:lncRNA from 1 species
GCUCUCACCUGGAGCCAUCCCUGCUGUCUGCAGGUGGCAGAUUUGGGGGGGAAAAGGGGGGUUGCCUUUAUACUGGGUCCCUCUAUUUUUUGGGGGGGGUUCCUUUUAACGGGAAGUGUUCUCUUAUGAGGGGGGGUCCCCAUAAUUUGGGGGGGGUCUUCCUUGGGUUGCACCCCUUAACACUGCAGUUAUGAUGAGGACAACAACCACGAGCCCUGCCAACGCCGCGGCCACAAAGCGCAUUGGGCCGUCGUCUCUGGUCAGUUUUGGGGUCUUCUCCCCCUCCCCCCAAAAAAACCCCACAACAUUUGGGGUCCUGGGGGGGGGCACCGUGCCCCCCCUUGCCGUGAACGCCCCUUUCAUGGACCCCCCCCCAAAUUUGGAUGGUUUAGGAGUGAUGCUGGGGGUGAAGGAUGCGGCGCUGAGCUCUGGAUGGCAGCAGGAUGCUGAGAUCCCCAAUCUGUUCCGGCCCCCCCACACCCCAAAAGGGGGACCCCCAAAUUUGGGGGGGGGACACCUAGAUUUGGGGGGGGGUCUUCAAGUUAUGGAGGGAGGCCCGGAAUUGGGGGGGGGCACCCUGGAUAUAAGGAGGUGUCCUCGGGUUUUGGGGGCAGGGCAGGAGUUGGGGGAAUCCCCGGAAUUGGGGGGGGGUCCUCAGGGCAUGGGGGGACCCUCGGAUGUGGGGGGGGGCCCGGAAUUGGAGGGGGGUCCUCAGGAUAUGGGGGUCUCCACCCGAGGCACAGGGGUCCCCCAUAUCUUGGGGGUCCCCCACGUCCCAGCGUCACCCCACAACCUGGGGUCCCCCCAUAAUUUGGGCCCCCCCCCAGACCCACAGUCCCCCCGUAACUCAGGGUCCCCCCAUAAUUUGGGUGUCCCCCACUCCCUGCCCCCCCCCCAUAACACGCCGUCCCCCCCAGACCCAAAGUCCUCCCCAGUCCUGGGGUCUCCCCAUAACCCGGGGGUCUCCCAUAUCCCACUGUCCCCCCCAGACCCAAAGUCCCCCCGUAACUCAGAGCCCCCCCAUAACUCAGAGCCCCCCCAUGAUUUGGGGUCCCCCCCAGACCCAGGGAUCCCCUGCAUCCCAUUAACCCCCCAUUCCCCGGGGUCCCCCCAUUCCCCAGGNNNNNNNNNNNNNNNNNNNNNNNNNNNNNNCCCCCUCCCUGCCCCCCCCCCCGAAUUUGGGGUCCCCCCCCCCACCCCUGCGUGUUCUGGGGGUCCCGGUUCGGGCUCUGUGGGUCGUAGCCCAGCAGGGGAAAAGCCCCCGCUGCCACGCCUGGCCCUAUCGGCUCCUGUGGGGCAGCAACGCGCAGCUGCUGGAGCUCAGCCCCCACCGCCGGGGGGGGGAUUACGUCGUACCGCCGGGGGGGGUCCUGGGGGGGCUGGGAGGGCGGGCGGUGCUGCUCAGCCCCA